rnacentral:rRNA from 1 species
UACAGAGGUCCCAAGCGUUGUUCGGAUUCACUGGGCGUAAAGGGUGCGUAGGCGGUCGGGUAAGUCUGAUGUGAAAUCUCACAGCUUAACUGUGAAACUGCAUUGGAUACUAUCCGGCUCGAGGAAUGGAGGGGAGACUGGAAUACUUGGUGUAGCAGUGAAAUGCGUAGAUAUCAAGUGGAACACCAGUGGCGAAGGCGAGUCUCUGGGCAAUUCCUGACGCUGAGGCGCGAAAGCGUGGGGAGCAAACGGG